AGAGUUUGAUCCUGGCUCAGGACGAACGCUGGCGGCGUGCCUAACACAUGCAAGUCGAACGGAGAAUUUUAUUUCGGUAGAAUUCUUAGUGGCGAACGGGUGAGUAACGCGUAGGCAACCUGCCCUUUAGACGGGGACAACAUUCCGAAAGGAGUGCUAAUACCGGAUGUGAUCAUCGUGCCGCAUGGCAGGAUGAAGAAAGAUGGCCUCUACAAGUAAGCUAUCGCUAAAGGAUGGGCCUGCGUCUGAUUAGCUAGUUGGUAGUGUAACGGACUACCAAGGCGAUGAUCAGUAGCCGGUCUGAGAGGAUGAACGGCCACAUUGGGACUGAGACACGGCCCAAACUCCUACGGGAGGCAGCAGUGGGGAAUCUUCCGCAAUGGACGAAAGUCUGACGGAGCAACGCCGCGUGAGUGAUGAAGGAUUUCGGUCUGUAAAGCUCUGUUGUUUAUGACGAACGUGCAGUGUGUGAACAAUGCAUUGCAAUGACGGUAGUAAACGAGGAAGCCACGGCUAACUACGUGCCAGCAGCCGCGGUAAUACGUAGGUGGCGAGCGUUGUCCGGAAUUAUUGGGCGUAAAGAGCAUGUAGGCGGCUUAAUAAGUCGAGCGUGAAAAUGCGGGGCUCAACCCCGUAUGGCGCUGGAAACUGUUAGGCUUGAGUGCAGGAGAGGAAAGGGGAAUUCCCAGUGUAGCGGUGAAAUGCGUAGAUAUUGGGAGGAACACCAGUGGCGAAGGCGCCUUUCUGGACUGUGUCUGACGCUGAGAUGCGAAAGCCAGGGUAGCGAACGGGAUUAGAUACCCCGGUAGUCCUGGCCGUAAACGAUGGGUACUAGGUGUAGGAGGUAUCGACCCCUUCUGUGCCGGAGUUAACGCAAUAAGGUCGUGAGAUGUUGGGUUAAGUCCCGCAACGAGCGCAACCCCUAUCCUAUGUUACCAGCAAGUAAAGUUGGGGACUCAUGGGAGACUGCCAGGGACAACCUGGAGGAAGGCGGGGAUGACGUCAAGUCAUCAUGCCCCUUAUGUCUUGGGCUACACACGUACUACAAUGGUCGGAAACAGAGGGAAGCGAAGCCGCGAGGCAGAGCAAACCCCAGAAACCCGAUCUCAGUUCGGAUCGCAGGCUGCAACCCGCCUGCGUGAAGUCGGAAUCGCUAGUAAUCGCAGGUCAGCAUACUGCGGUGAAUACGUUCCCGGGCCUUGUACACACCGCCCGUCACACCACGAAAGUUGGUAACAGAGAGUUAACGAGAAAAGUCUAGGAACGUAAGUUUCUUAGCAGCUGAAAAGUCAAGCUACUAAGGGCAUACGGUG
rnacentral:rRNA from 1 species